AGUGAAUGCUGGCGGUAGGCCUAACACAUGCGAGUCGAACGGCAGCACAGUAAGAGCUUGCUCUUACGGGUGGCGAGUGGCGGACGGGUGAGGAAUACAUCGGAAUCUACUUUUUCGUGGGGGAUAACGUAGGGAAACUUACGCUAAUACCGCAUACGACCUACGGGUGAAAGCAGGGGAUCUUCGGACCUUGCGCGAUUGAAUGAGCCGAUGUCGGAUUAGCUAGUUGGCGGGGUAAAGGCCCACCAAGGCGACGAUCCGUAGCUGGUCUGAGAGGAUGAUCAGCCACACUGGAACUGAGACACGGUCCAGACUCCUACGGGAGGCAGCAGUGGGGAAUAUUGGACAAUGGGCGCAAGCCUGAUCCAGCCAUACCGCGUGGGUGAAGAAGGCCUUCGGGUUGUAAAGCCCUUUUGUUGGGAAAGAAAAGCAGCAGGUUAAUACCCCGCUGUUCUGACGGUACCCAAAGAAUAAGCACCGGCUAACUUCGUG
rnacentral:rRNA from 1 species